rnacentral:rRNA from 1 species
UAAGCCAUGCGAGUCGAGAGGUGUAAGACCUCGGCAUACUGCUCAGUAACACGUGGUUAACGUGCCCUAAGGUGGAGAAUACUCCCGGGAAACUGGGGUUAAUGCUCCAUAGUGGAUAUGUCCUGGAAUGGUAUAUCCUCGAAAGAUCCGUCGCCUUAGGAUGGGACUGCGUCCGAUUAGGUUGUUGGCGGGGUAACGGCCCACCAAGCCAUUGAUCGGUACGGGUUGUGGGAGCAAGAUCCCGGAGAUGGAUUCUGAGACAUGAAUCCAGGCCCUACGGGGCGCAGCAGGCGCGCAAACUUUACAGUGCGAGCAAUCGUGAUAAGGAAACCCUGAGUGCCUGUCGAUGCAGGCUGUUCAUAUAUCUAAAUCAUAUGUGAAGAAAGGGCAGGGCAAGACCGGUGCCAGCCGCCGCGGCAAUACCGGCUGCUCGAGUGAUGGCCACUAUUACUGGGUUUAAAGCGUCCGUAGCUUGACUGUUAGGUCCCUUGGGAAAUCUUCGCGCUUAACGUGAAGGCGUCUAAGAGAUACCGGCAGUCUUGGAACUGGGAGAGGUAAACCGUACUUCGGGGGUAGGAGUGAAAUCUUGUAAUCCUCGAGGGACGACCUAUGGCGAAGGCAGUUUACCAGAACAGCUUCGACAGUGAGGGACGAAAGCUGGGGGAGCAAACGGGAUUAGAUACCCCGGUAGUCCCAGCCGUAAACAAUGUGCGUUAGGUGUGUCGGUAACCACGCGUUACUGAUGCGCCGAAGAGAAAUCGUGAAACGCACCACCUGGGAAGUACGGUCGC